UACGUAGGGUGCGAGCGUUGUCCGGAAUUAUUGGGCGUAAAGAGCUCGUAGGCGGUUCGGUAAGUCGGGUGUGAAACCUCCAGGCUCAACCUGGAGACGCCACCUGAUACUGCUGUGACUCGAGUCCGGUAGGGGAGCGUGGAAUUCCUGGUGUAGCGGUGAAAUGCGCAGAUAUCAGGAGGAACACCAGCGGCGAAGGCGGCGCUCUGGGCCGGAACUGACGCUGAGGAGCGAAAGCGUGGGUAGCAAACAGG
rnacentral:rRNA from 1 species